GGGGUUGUGGCUCAGUGGCAGAGCGCUUGCCUCACAUGUGAGGCACUGGGUUAGAUCCUCAGCAACUCAU
rnacentral:tRNA from 1 species